rnacentral:lncRNA from 1 species
AAAAAAUUGUUGUGAGCCGUGAUGUUCACUUUGAAGAGGAUAAACAAUGGAACUGGAGCAACGAAGAAGGAACAGAAGAAAGUCCGUUUGAGGUUGAACUACUACCAUUGAAACAGAGUGAAACUAGGGUAGUGGAUAUUCAAGAAGUAAGUGAUAAUGAAGGUGAAGAGAAUGUAGAUGAAGAAGAUGAUAAUGAAGAAGAGGAGCCGCAGCCAGAGUUGAGGCGAUCAAACCGAGUGAGCACGAAACCCUCUUACCUUGAUGACUAUGUCCUUCUCGCUGACAUUGAGUGUGAAAGGCUUCUGAUGGUGAUAAAUAACGAGCCCUAUGAUUACAAUGAGGCUAGAGAACACAAAGUCUGGGUGAACGCCUGCAAGGAGGAGAUAAACUCAAUCGAAAAGAACAACACUUGGAUUCUCGUUGACCUACCAAAAGGUUUCAAAACUAUUGGGUUAAAAUGGGUGUUUAAAAUAAAAAGAAACGCAGACGGAAGCAUCAGCAAAUUCAAGGCACGAUUAGUGGCAAAAGGAUAUGUUCAAAGGCAUGGUGUUGACUAUGAUGAAGUCUUUGCACCAGUAGCUCGUAUUGAGACAAUCAGAAUGAUCAUAGCUCUUGCGGCUUCAAAGGAAUGGGAGAUACAUCAUCUGGACGUUAAGACAGCGUUCUUACACGGAGAGCUGAAAGAAGAAGUCUAUGUUACUCAGCCGGAAGGAUUUGAGAUCAGAGGAAAGGAAGGAAAAGUUUAUAAACUGCACAAAGCUCUCUACGGUUUGAAACAGGCCCCUAGAGCAUGGAACAUAAAACUCAACGGGAUCUUGAAGAAACUAGGUUUCGUGCGUUGCUCAAAAGAGCCCUCGCUCUAUAGGAAAGAAGAAAAGAAAGGCUUGCUUGUUGUCUGUGUGUAUGUCGACGAUCUUCUUGUCACAGGUUCAUCUUUGGGUUCGAUUAUCAAGUUUAAACAAGAGAUGGCUCGAACGUUUGAGAUGAGUGACCUUGGUAGAUUGACUUAUUACUUAGGCAUUGAGGUACGACAAACCAAUGAAGGAAUUACAUUGUCACAAGAACGAUAUGCUCAGAAGAUUCUUGAGCAAACCGGAAUGAAUGAUUGCAAUCUUAUACACAUACCAAUGGACGUGAAUACAAAGCUGUCAAAAUCGCCUCAAGAACAGAGUAUCAACGAAAGAGAAUACAGAAAGAGUAUUGGCUGUCUCCGUUAUCUUCUGCACACACGACCCGAUCUCUCUUACAGCGUUGGUGUGCUUAGUAGGUACAUGCAAGAACCGAAACAAUCUCACGGUGCAGCUCUAAAGCAAGUGUUGAGAUACUUGCGCGGAACGACUUCUCUUGGUUUAAGGUUCUCGCAAGCAACAGAACAAGAAGAACUAAUAGGGUUUAGCGAUAGUUCGCACAACGUAGAUGAGGAUGAUGGCAGAGCUACAACUGGACAUGUUUUCUAUCUCGGAACCAGUCCUAUAACCUGGUGUUCUCAGAAACAAGAAAUUGUAGCCUUGUCAUCUUGUGAAGCAGAGUUUAUGGCUGCUACGGAAGCUGCGAAACAGGCAAUAUGGCUCCAAGAACUUAUGAGUGAAGUCGUGGGGCAUGAAAGCAAGAAGGUGACAAUAAAAGUCGAUAACAAAUCCGCAAUCUCGCUCACCAAGAAUCCUGUAUUCCAUGGUAGAAGUAAACACAUUCAUAGAAGGUAUCAUUUCAUACGAGAGUGCGUCGAGAAUGAACCAAUUGAAGUGGAGCAUGUUCCGGGAAGUAUGCAAAGAGCCGACAUUCUAACAAAGUCCCUAAGCCGAGUUCGUUUUAAAGAGAUGAGGAGUCUUAUUGGAAUGCAAGUAGUGUGUGAGGAUGAAGUCAAGCUUAAGGGGGAGAAUGUUGGUUUAAGCUUGAAAGAUAGCUUAAAACACAAGCUAUCCUAAAUUGAAGUGUUAUGAUUAUCCAUAAGAGAAUAGGAAAUAUUGAAAGUGUGAUUACUAAUAGGAUUAGGAUUAUCUAGUCUUAUAUAUUGAAGUGUAAGGUGUUGAAUCAACUUACGGAUUGUGUGAGUGAUUGAGCUUUAGUUUUGAGUUAUUUUCUAAAGCAAUACGAAAGUGUUUGAAGUGAUUUCGAUCUUUGAUUUCUAUAUUUAAAUCUUGCACCACUGGUAAUGCUCAAACCUCAAAAGAAAGGGACGUAGGAGGUUCUAUUAUCACGGAUUAAGAACAACAAUAUAGAAGAAAAAAACUUUUCAUUCUGGUCGAUUCAAAACACAUGAAUCUAGCGACUUCUUAUUUAUUACACUCUGGAAAACAUAACAAUGAGUCAUUUUUUUUGCUUAAAAACAUAACACUGAGUUUGAAUAUAAAAAAAAAACAUAACAGUGAGUCAAACCCAAUUUUACUCGUUUUAGGGGUCCAAUUCAAAUCCAGAUAUCAGAUGUGCAGUCUCCGCCGGGAUAUCUCAUCUCGUGGGCAAGCGCAGGACCAUCAGGUUCUUCACCAAAGUCCACAAAGAAAUCAGGGUUUAUUGAGAGACCACCUUUCUCUGUAUCAACAUCAAUCUGAAUUAUGUGUGAUCCUUUAUCCAUGAGUUCUGGGUAAAACUGACGGUCCCACGCGCUGAACAGUGAGUUUGUUGCAUACAAUCGUUUACCAUCAAGGCUCAGCUGGAUCAUCUGAGGUCCUGCUCGUAGAGAUUUCCCCUACAAAUACCCGAGAUAUUAAAGAAAAAUGUGCUCCCAAAUGAAUGUUUAUUUUUGUAAGUAAAACAAACCUUGAUCUGAGGAACAUCAAACUGGUAAGUGGUACCAUCUUCUCUAACCGCCUUUACAGGGCUGCCUUUUUGUAGUAAUCCGCCCACCCAAAUUUGACCAGUUAAGACAGGGUUUUUAGGGUCUUCAAUGUUGUACUGACGAAUGUCUCCAUGAAGCCAGUUCACAAAGUAGAAAAACCUAUCAUCGAGGGAGAUCAAGAAGUCGGUGAUAAGCCCCGGCAUUUCUGGAAGAAUCCAGUUCUCUACUUUCAGUGGUUCAACUGAUAUAACCACCUACCAAAAAAUAUUAGUGGCAAAAGGAUAUGUUCAAAGGCAUGGUGUUGACUAUGAUGAAGUCUUUGCACCAGUAGCUCGUAUUGAGACAAUCAGAAUGAUCAUAGCUCUUGCGGCUUCAAAGGAAUGGGAGAUACAUCAUCUGGACGUUAAGACAGCGUUCUUACACGGAGAGCUGAAAGAAGAAGUCUAUGUUACUCAGCCGGAAGGAUUUGAGAUCAGAGGAAAGGAAGGAAAAGUUUAUAAACUGCACAAAGCUCUCUACGGUUUGAAACAGGCCCCUAGAGCAUGGAACAUAAAACUCAACGGGAUCUUGAAGAAACUAGGUUUCGUGCGUUGCUCAAAAGAGCCCUCGCUCUAUAGGAAAGAAGAAAAGAAAGGCUUGCUUGUUGUCUGUGUGUAUGUCGACGAUCUUCUUGUCACAGGUUCAUCUUUGGGUUCGAUUAUCAAGUUUAAACAAGAGAUGGCUCGAACGUUUGAGAUGAGUGACCUUGGUAGAUUGACUUAUUACUUAGGCAUUGAGGUACGACAAACCAAUGAAGGAAUUACAUUGUCACAAGAACGAUAUGCUCAGAAGAUUCUUGAGCAAACCGGAAUGAAUGAUUGCAAUCUUAUACACAUACCAAUGGACGUGAAUACAAAGCUGUCAAAAUCGCCUCAAGAACAGAGUAUCAACGAAAGAGAAUACAGAAAGAGUAUUGGCUGUCUCCGUUAUCUUCUGCACACACGACCCGAUCUCUCUUACAGCGUUGGUGUGCUUAGUAGGUACAUGCAAGAACCGAAACAAUCUCACGGUGCAGCUCUAAAGCAAGUGUUGAGAUACUUGCGCGGAACGACUUCUCUUGGUUUAAGGUUCUCGCAAGCAACAGAACAAGAAGAACUAAUAGGGUUUAGCGAUAGUUCGCACAACGUAGAUGAGGAUGAUGGCAGAGCUACAACUGGACAUGUUUUCUAUCUCGGAACCAGUCCUAUAACCUGGUGUUCUCAGAAACAAGAAAUUGUAGCCUUGUCAUCUUGUGAAGCAGAGUUUAUGGCUGCUACGGAAGCUGCGAAACAGGCAAUAUGGCUCCAAGAACUUAUGAGUGAAGUCGUGGGGCAUGAAAGCAAGAAGGUGACAAUAAAAGUCGAUAACAAAUCCGCAAUCUCGCUCACCAAGAAUCCUGUAUUCCAUGGUAGAAGUAAACACAUUCAUAGAAGGUAUCAUUUCAUACGAGAGUGCGUCGAGAAUGAACCAAUUGAAGUGGAGCAUGUUCCGGGAAGUAUGCAAAGAGCCGACAUUCUAACAAAGUCCCUAAGCCGAGUUCGUUUUAAAGAGAUGAGGAGUCUUAUUGGAAUGCAAGUAGUGUGUGAGGAUGAAGUCAAGCUUAAGGGGGAGAAUGUUGGUUUAAGCUUGAAAGAUAGCUUAAAACACAAGCUAUCCUAAAUUGAAGUGUUAUGAUUAUCCAUAAGAGAAUAGGAAAUAUUGAAAGUGUGAUUACUAAUAGGAUUAGGAUUAUCUAGUCUUAUAUAUUGAAGUGUAAGGUGUUGAAUCAACUUACGGAUUGUGUGAGUGAUUGAGCUUUAGUUUUGAGUUAUUUUCUAAAGCAAUACGAAAGUGUUUGAAGUGAUUUCGAUCUUUGAUUUCUAUAUUUAAAUCUUGCACCACUGGUAAUGCUCAAACCUCAAAAGAAAGGGACGUAGGAGGUUCUAUUAUCACGGAUUAAGAACAACAAUAUAGAAGAAAAAAACUUUUCAUUCUGGUCGAUUCAAAACACAUGAAUCUAGCGACUUCUUAUUUAUUACACUCUGGAAAACAUAACAAUGAGUCAUUUUUUUUGCUUAAAAACAUAACACUGAGUUUGAAUAUAAAAAAAAAACAUAACAGUGAGUCAAACCCAAUUUUACUCGUUUUAGGGGUCCAAUUCAAAUCCAGAUAUCAGAUGUGCAGUCUCCGCCGGGAUAUCUCAUCUCGUGGGCAAGCGCAGGACCAUCAGGUUCUUCACCAAAGUCCACAAAGAAAUCAGGGUUUAUUGAGAGACCACCUUUCUCUGUAUCAACAUCAAUCUGAAUUAUGUGUGAUCCUUUAUCCAUGAGUUCUGGGUAAAACUGACGGUCCCACGCGCUGAACAGUGAGUUUGUUGCAUACAAUCGUUUACCAUCAAGGCUCAGCUGGAUCAUCUGAGGUCCUGCUCGUAGAGAUUUCCCCUACAAAUACCCGAGAUAUUAAAGAAAAAUGUGCUCCCAAAUGAAUGUUUAUUUUUGUAAGUAAAACAAACCUUGAUCUGAGGAACAUCAAACUGGUAAGUGGUACCAUCUUCUCUAACCGCCUUU